UUACAGCCAUAUCACGUUGAAACAUUGGUUCUCGUGCGAUCACCAAAGUUAAGUAACGUCGGACCUGUUUAGUACCUAGAUGGGUGACCGCUUGGGAAUACCAAGCGCUGAA
rnacentral:rRNA from 1 species